rnacentral:rRNA from 1 species
GAUGAACGCUGGCGGCGUGCUUAACACAUGCAAGUCGAACGAACCUUCGGGUUAGUGGCGGACGGGUGAGUAACGCGUGGGAAUCUGCCCUCAGGAGGGGGAUAACGGCUGGAAACGGCCGCUAAUACCCCAUAUGCCGAGAGGUGAAAUGAAUUUCGCCUGAGGAUGAGCCCGCGUCUGAUUAGCUAGUUGGUGGGGUAAGAGCCUACCAAGGCGACGAUCAGUAGCUGGUCUGAGAGGAUGAUCAGCCACACUGGGACUGAGACACGGCCCAGACUCCUACGGGAGGCAGCAGUGGGGAAUUUUCCGCAAUGGGCGAAAGCCUGACGGAGCAACGCCGCGUGAGGGACGAAGGCCUCUGGGCUGUAAACCUCUUUUCUCAAGGAAGAAGAUCUGACGGUACUUGAGGAAUAAGCCACGGCUAAUUCCGUGCCAGCAGCCGCGGUAAUACGGGAGUGGCAAGCGUUAUCCGGAAUUAUUGGGCGUAAAGCGUCCGCAGGCGGCUUUGUAAGUCUGCUGUCAAAGCGUGGAGCUUAACUCCAUUUCGGCAGUGGAAACUACGAGGCUUGAGUGUGGUAGGGGCAGAGGGAAUUCCCGGUGUAGCGGUGAAAUGCGUAGAUAUCGGGAAGAACACCAGUGGCGAAGGCGCUCUGCUGGGCCAUAACUGACGCUCAUGGACGAAAGCCAGGGGAGCGAAAGGGAUUAGAUACCCCUGUAGUCCUGGCCGUAAACGAUGAACACUAGGUGUCGGGGGAAUCGACCCCCUCGGUGUCGUAGCCAACGCGUUAAGUGUUCCGCCUGGGGAGUACGCACGCAAGUGUGAAACUCAAAGGAAUUGACGGGGGCCCGCACAAGCGGUGGAGUAUGUGGUUUAAUUCGAUGCAACGCGAAGAACCUUACCAGGGUUUGACAUCCUGCGAAUCCCUUGGAAACUUGGGAGUGCCUUCGGGAGCGCAGAGACAGGUGGUGCAUGGCUGUCGUCAGCUCGUGUCGUGAGAUGUUGGGUUAAGUCCCGCAACGAGCGCAACCCACGUCUUUAGUUGCCAGCAUUUAGUUGGGCACUCUAGAGAGACCGCCGGUGAUAAACCGGAGGAAGGUGUGGAUGACGUCAAGUCAUCAUGCCCCUUACAUCCUGGGCUACACACGUACUACAAUGCUACGGACAAAGGGCAGCAAACUCGCGAGAGCUAGCAAAUCCCAUAAACCGUGGCUCAGUUCAGAUCGUAGGCUGCAACUCGCCUACGUGAAGGAGGAAUCGCUAGUAAUCGCAGGUCAGCAUACUGCGGUGAAUACGUUCCCGGGCCUUGUACACACCGCCCGUCACACCAUGGAAGUUGGCCAUGCCCGAAGUCGUUACUCCAACCCUUGUGGAGGAGGACGCCGAAGGUGGGGCUGAUGACUGGGGUGAAGUCGUAACAAGGUAGCCGUACCGGAAGGUGCGGCUGGAUCACCUCCUAA